GACGGAGGAUGCAAGUGUUAUCCGGAAUCACUGGGCGUAAAGCGUCUGUAGGUGGUUUAGUAAGUCUAUUGUUAAAUCUUGAGGCUCAACUUCAAAUCAGCAAUGGAAACUGCUAGACUCGAGUAUGGUAGAGGUAAGGGGAAUUUCCAGUGGAGCGGUGAAAUGCGUAGAUAUUGGAAAGAACACCGAUGGCGAAGGCACCUUACUGGGCCAUUACUGACACUCAGAGACGAAAGCUAGGGUAGCAAAUGGGAUUAGAUACCCCAGUAGUCCUAGCCGUAAACGAUGGAUACUAGAUGUUGUGCAUAGGCAGUAUCCUAGCUAACGCGUUAAGUAUCCCGCCUGGGGAGUACGCUCGCAAGGGUG
rnacentral:rRNA from 1 species